UGUUUGCUCAAAUCAAACCUUUCUCAGAAGUAAAUACUACCUAUUAUUUCAUGUAUUGAUAGGAAGAGAUGUUGGGUGAUGUCAUCUAGUCUCUUGUAUUUUAUUGUAACCAGAGGUUGCAGAAAGAUUGACAGGGACUGUGUGUUUAGUCGUUUAGUCGUGUCCGACUCUUCGUGACCCCAUGGACCAGAGCACGCCAGGCCCUCCUGUCUUCUACUGCCUCCCGGAGUUGUGUCAGGUUCAUGUUGGUUGCUUCGCAGACACUGUCCAGCCAUCUCAUCCUCGGUCGUCCCCUUCUCCUUCUCAGAAGUAAACACUACCUAUUAUUUCAUGUAGGAAGAGAUGUUGGGUGAUGUCAUCUAGUCUCUUGCAUUUUAUUGUAACCAGAGGCCGCAGAAAGAUUGACAGGGACUAUACAGAAUCAGUUCCUUGACUUCAGGCUGCUUUGGAACAUGUUGACAUUCCGGACUAUAUAGAAUCAAUUCCUUGACCUCAGGCUGCUUUGGAACAUGUUGACAUUCCAAUGCCUCAUAAAGAGCGGAAUGUUCUUCUGCUUCCCCGGAGACAGUCCAGCCAAAGAAUCAAGGGUUCCCAUAGCCCAAUCGAGCAAUGCCACCACAAUGCCAGAACAACAACGACCGAGACCCCAGCUCCAAGGCAACCAGUGCAACAUGACGGACAUAAUGCAAAGAAUUUCCCUUUCCAAGCCACAUGUAGACCAGGGGAUGUAUAGAACAUUGUACAUGGUCGACUACAAGCCCUAUGCGGAACAUCAUCAGUGGCGUCCCAUGAUGGACCCUUCACAGAGACUAAAACUGGAAGCCCAGCUGAAGGAGAAGGAGCUUGCAAGGCCUGUUCAGAAGAAACCGGUGAAAUAUGUUGAGGAGCCUGGCUGUCAAGAAGUUCAGCCACCUUAUCCUGUAGGAAUGGUUGGGAGGGCCUCAAAAGGCCUAGAAGCUCCACCGCCAAACCAACAAGCCCAAGAAGAACAAUGGAACCACUCCCUUCCUCUUGCUGAUCCAACUGCAAUUCAAGAAAAGGAAGCUGAGAGAUUAGCUCAGCUGGCAGAUGCUAUUGCUCUGACAGGUAACACAGAUGUGCCAUGCAUCAAGCAAGAACAGGGCCAGAACUGGAACAGUUAUCAGCAAUUCCUCUUGGAAAACCGGCGAGCUAAUCAAGUACAAGUUCAAGAAAUUAAGAGGCUGAAUCUGGAAACGUCUGUAUUUCCAAGAGAUUUCAUCAGGAGUACUGAUGCAAGUACUUACCAAAGGGAUUACAAAUGCUGGCCCAGAAUCCGGGGUGGAUUUUGCCGAGCGAAUCGGAAUUUCUCGAAUCUCCUCUUAGAAGAUGGCUACUACAAAAACAAUCCCUGGUCAUCAGAAUACAUGGACAACUAUAACAUUUUCUUGAGGAAGUUGCACUGGACCGCUCGCAAUCCUGUCUCAUCUUUUUGCUCAGCUGUACAGCCCAUCCCCCAUCUCUCCCAUGGAAUGCCCUCGCAGACGCCUAUAGCCGUGAACACAGCACCUUAAAAAUAUGCAGCCAUUUUUGAUUAUGUUCUGCAAGCAAAAUAGGAUUUCAGUCAUGGAAAUAUUGAUAUGAUGCCAUGGAAGCCUGAACACUGCACACGACAGACUAUUGUUUAUAUUAAGCUUAUUUAUACUUGUGUAUGUACCAUAGCUAGAUUUUGAGUACUGUAUAUCUAUUUUCUAGAGCUAAAGCAGAGCCCUGGUUUGAAAUGUAUGUGGAAAUUGACACAUGUAUCUUAGAAUAAUCCAAAUAUAGAAUUAUUCAAGUUGUUCUACCUUUUAAAUAAAAAUAUGCUAAUUAAAAACA
ensembl:lncRNA uncharacterized LOC110086342